rnacentral:rRNA from 1 species
UACGUAGGUGGCAAGCGUUGUCCGGAUUUACUGGGCGUAAAGGGCGCGUAGGCGGCCACCGCAAGUCGACUGUGAAAUCUCCGGGCUUAACCCGGAAAGGUCAGCCGAUACUGCGGGGCUAGAGUGCAGAAGGGGCAACUGGAAUUCUCGGUGUAGCGGUGAAAUGCGUAGAUAUCGAGAGGAACACCUGCGGCGAAGGCGGGUUGCUGGGCUGACACUGACGCUGAGGCGCGAAAGCUAGGGGAGCGAACGGG